rnacentral:rRNA from 1 species
UGAACGCUGGCGGCGUGCCUACUACAUGCAAGUCGAGCGAACAGACGAGGAGCUUGCUCCUCUGACGUUAGCGGCGGACGGGUGAGUAACACGUGGAUAACCUACCUAUAAGACUGGGAUAACUUCGGGAAACCGGAGCUAAUACCGGAUAAUAUAUUGAACCGCAUGGUUCAAUAGUGAAAGACGGUUUUGCUGUCACUUAUAGAUGGAUCCGCGCCGCAUUAGCUAGUUGGUAAGGUAACGGCUUACCAAGGCAACGAUGCGUAGCCGACCUGAGAGGGUGAUCGGCCACACUGGAACUGAGACACGGUCCAGACUCCUACGGGAGGCAGCAGUAGGGAAUUUUCCGCAAUGGGCGAAAGCCUGACGGAGCAACGCCGCGUGAGUGAUGAAGGUCUACGGAUCGUAAAACUCUGUUAUUAGGGAAGAACAAAUGUGUAAGUAACUAUGCACGUCUUGACGGUACCUAAUCAGAAAGCCACGGCUAACUACGUG